rnacentral:rRNA from 1 species
GGUGAAGCAGGAGCUUGCUCUUGUGGAUCAGUGGCGAACGGGUGAGUAACACGUGAGCAACCUGCCCCUGACUCUGGGAUAAGCGCUGGAAACGGCGUCUAAUACUGGAUAUGUGACGUGACCGCAUGGUCUGCGUUUGGAAAGAUUUUUCGGUUGGGGAUGGGCUCGCGGCCUAUCAGCUUGUUGGUGAGGUAAUGGCUCACCAAGGCGUCGACGGGUAGCCGGCCUGAGAGGGUGACCGGCCACACUGGGACUGAGACACGGCCCAGACUCCUACGGGAGGCAGCAGUGGGGAAUAUUGCACAAUGGGCGAAAGCCUGAUGCAGCAACGCCGCGUGAGGGAUGACGGCCUUUCGGGUUGUAAACCUCUUUUAGCAGGGAAGAAGCGAAAGUGACGGUACCUGCAGAAAAAGCGCCGGCUAACUACGUGCCAGCAGCCGCGGUAAUACGUAGGGCGCAAGCGUUAUCCGGAAUUAUUGGGCGUAAAGAGCUCGUAGGCGGUUUGUCGCGUCUGCUGUGAAAUCCCGAGGCUCAACCUCGGGCCUGCAGUGGGUACGGGCAGACUAGAGUGCGGUAGGGGAGAUUGGAAUUCCUGGUGUAGCGGUGGAAUGCGCAGAUAUCAGGAGGAACACCGAUGGCGAAGGCAGAUCUCUGGGCCGUAACUGACGCUGAGGAGCGAAAGGGUGGGGAGCAAACAGGCUUAGAUACCCUGGUAGUCCACCCCGUAAACGUUGGGAACUAGUUGUGGGGUCCAUUCCACGGAUUCCGUGACGCAGCUAACGCAUUAAGUUCCCCGCCUGGGGAGUACGGCCGCAAGGCUAAAACUCAAAGGAAUUGACGGGGACCCGCACAAGCGGCGGAGCAUGCGGAUUAAUUCGAUGCAACGCGAAGAACCUUACCAAGGCUUGACAUAUACGAGAACGGGCCAGAAAUGGUCAACUCUUUGGACACUCGUAAACAGGUGGUGCAUGGUUGUCGUCAGCUCGUGUCGUGAGAUGUUGGGUUAAGUCCCGCAACGAGCGCAACCCUCGUUCUAUGUUGCCAGCACGUAAUGGUGGGAACUCAUGGGAUACUGCCGGGGUCAACUCGGAGGAAGGUGGGGAUGACGUCAAAUCAUCAUGCCCCUUAUGUCUUGGGCUUCACGCAUGCUACAAUGGCCGGUACAAAGGGCUGCAAUACCGUGAGGUGGAGCGAAUCCCAAAAAGCCGGUCCCAGUUCGGAUUGAGGUCUGCAACUCGACCUCAUGAAGUCGGAGUCGCUAGUAAUCGCAGAUCAG